rnacentral:lncRNA from 1 species
GAGAAGGUUUGUGCUAGGAACUGUAAAAAAAUACAAUCACUCAGCUGACGGGCAGGCUCCUUAUCGUGGAUGCAGGAGAGGGACCACCAGAAAGGCCCCACCAAAAAAAAAAGCACAUCUGGGCAGAGAGUGUCGGAACAGAAGAGCUAUGUUGUCCCUUGCACCUUGAAGUGAUGAGCAUUGGCAGAUCUCCUGAUCUCAGCCUGGGGCUGCUGACGGUUCAGGUCCAUUUCAGAGAGAGAGAGAGAGCAACAUGCAUGGGGUGAACCUCAAAAGAGAAAAUCGCUGAGACAGGCUGUCUAGACAUUGCAGAUGUGGACAGAUGUUGGGUCUGUAAUGCACUAGGAACUGAGCCCAGGACCUCCAACAACACACCAGUCAAGAACUCUACUACUGAGUUAUCCUCCCAACCUCUAGUAUGGGUAGAGGGAUCCUGGAAGACAGCCCGGAGGAAGAAGUCACCAUUUGCUACAGAGGGGACAAAUGGCUCAGAAUGGCAAUUCAGGGCCCCCAGCUUUCUGUUUUUAGGUACGCGUUCACACUGCACACGGGGAGUGUGUGAGUGUGUACACACAAGUAUACCCUGGACCAGGGCUCAGACCCCUCCAUCGUUCCCAACCUGCAGCUGCUCCCAGAGCCGACUCUGUGAUUUGUAGUGCAGGCCACCCAGGGACUUUAAUCUUCACCGUGACAAAUGCAAUAAAAGGAACAAUUUGGAGA